GAACCUUUAUUAUAUAAAAGUAUAUUUAAUUGCAAAUUAAAAGGAUAUAAGGUUUC
rnacentral:tRNA from 1 species